AUCUGGCAGAAAAUGGGAGCCCAGCAGAUGGUGAGCCCUGUUCUUCCUCCAUAAAACAUGCUGUGCUUGCUAGUUAAGGCAAAGAUUUCCAGUUGAGCUUAAGUCUGAAAGAAACCUGCUUCUUUGACUCAGGAAACAGGGGGUGUCCUAUUCCCAAACAUGAGAGACAGAGCUGAGCAGUUCCCAGGAAUGAGAAAGCUGUAGCUUAGAAAUCCUGAAGAAAGUCUACUACAGUCUUCCUAGAAGACUCUGAUGCUGCUUCAAGAAUCUUUGUCUGUUUUGUUUUUUCUUAAAUGUAAUUACCUGCAGCUAAAGGAGCCUGUGGAUGGGCAAGGGUGAAGGCUUAAGAGGGCUCCUUGACUUCCACUGGCUACUGUAUGUCCAGAACUUGACCUCUGGCCCAACAUACCUUCAUGGACCAUUUGAAAUGGAAGCGUUUCCAUAAUGAAGUUCUGGUUGAAGUUCUUGAAAGGGCUGACAAACAGAUCCAGUACAGCAGCAUGGAGGUGUAAGACUGGAAUGACAACAGGCUGAGAGGCAGAAGGAAAGGCUAAAACUCACUGCACAGCUGGAGGACAGGGUUUUAGCAAGGGAACAGUUCCUGGAAUAGAAAUGGUGGCUGAAGGAGGAAGACCAAGGUCAACGGAGAUAACUGUUGGAGUGAUUCAUCCCCAUCAUGGCUGGAAGAACACCGGCUCUAGCUGCCUCUCCCACAUCAAAGCCUGAUUCACCUGCAAUAUACCUUCAGUCCAUAAGUAGCUUGGACAACUCCAUGCAUUCAAGCAUCAUGAAUGGCUUGGCCCCAUUGCAGCCUUCCUUCUUGAACCUCUCCCCUGUGGAUACCUCCAUCGAUGACAAGUGUGCAGAAAGAAAGGAAAGGAGAAUGUGGGGCCAGGGGACAUGAAGCAGUAGGGGGUUUAUAUCAUGUUUGCACUGUAUUCUGCACUUUUAUUUUUUUAGUUUUUGUUUUGGAAAUGUUCUUCAGUGUCUUGUUUUGGGAUGUCUUAAUGGCAGCUGGCCUGCCUGGCAAUGGGUGACGGUUGUAUUGUUUUAACACACAUACAAAUAAAACCUUUUAUGUCAUCAUGAA